CUUCCUGCGGUUACAGUCAUGUUCAAUGCUGACAGAAAAUCAACACCUUGGUUAGCUUCAGAGAGCCAUUUUUGGCUAAUUUACUUCCUCUGGCCCAAUCCACUCCCCCGCCUUUCUUCUGGAGGACUGAGGUGAACGCUGGUUGCAUCCUUGCAAAUAUAUAUACGAUUAAAGGAGGAGGUAAGUUUAUGUGAUUAUCACCAACUGACUUCACCAUGUGCUUAGGGUAUUGCUUUCUUACAGCUGGGUCUUCUAAAGUCCAAGCACUUUAAUGGAAUUUAUGCCAUUUGCGUGCAGUUUUCAGUCAAUGCUCCAUAACAAAUGCACUCUUCAGCUAUUCAAGACUUCAUCAUAUCAUUGGAGCCAAAAGGACCAUGAAGAAAUCUUUGUAACUUUGGGACAAGAAAGUUAAAGACUUACAUUGUCACUCUUAGAUGAUUUUCAGUUGGUUUAAUUCUUCCAGGAAAAAAAAAAUUACAGGUAAAAGUCAUAUCAGAGUUUAUGAAAUAAAAAGGAAGAAAAACAAAACAAACAAACCAACAAAAACCCUACCAACCACUAACUGGAACUUCAGAAAAAUCAUACAACAUGAAAUUUAAUAUGAGUAACACUUCCUGUUUUGGUACAAAUGGUUCAAGAAAGAUGGAGCUAGCAAAUAAUUUGUAGUGUAGAUAGUUUGUCCUUUCUACUCAAAAAAUUAAUCUGACUCUUUAUUUUUUAAACAGAGCAAAUUCACACUGUUUAGCGCUGUUCUCUUAGGUCAAUUGAAAGCUACCAUAAGUGUGGAAGACUAUAUGUCCUCUAUGCAACAAGAGCAAAAGCUUUCAUAAGCCCUAAAUAUUGUUUCAUUCAGGAAGUUAUUCUUAUGUGUAUGUUUCCACAAGUAUUAUCAGUAGAAUUAGAGGUAGCAGCAAUAUCCACAAGUUGUUUGGUUUCCUUCCCACACUAUCAGACACUGAAACAACAAAGAUGAAAUGUUGUGGGAAACGCCUUUAACUGCAACACAAGUGGCUUUCCAGAAAAGAUUUAAGGAAAUUGUCUUUAAUGCAGAAUUGUUGAAGCGAUGUAAGAGGGAUUUUUGCAUGAAAUGUUUUAUUUGUGUAGUGCAUUUUAAGGACACCUUGGGCCAAAUUCUUUCCUGGUGUUAUGAUACUGAAGAUGUGUUCGGGCCAGUGGGCCAUAUUCUGAUCUUAGUUAUAUUAGUGUAACUUUCAAAGGAAAUUUUUCUAGAUUUAUGCUGAUGUAAUUGAAUUAAAGCCAACCAAAAAUCUUUGCAGAUUAUGGGUCAUCUCUGAAAAAGUAUUCUUGUGAGUGGUUUCAUUAAGGCGAAAUUGAUGCUUAUGAUCUCUUUUGGGUCAGAGGUUAUUGGCUAUGGUGUAUAAGCAGAAAAGAACCAAACUUGCUUUACAGAUCUCAGAUUGUUUUUUCAGGACUCACAGUUACAAAAACCCAUACUUUUACCUGUAGGUUAAAUGAAUUUGCUAAUCGUGUAAUUAAGAAACAAUAAACACGGAAUGCCUCAGGCCCAUUUUACCGAAUAAAACAGCAUUUUAAGCU